AUGGCUGUCGUCAGCUCGUGCCGUGAGGUGUUGGGUUAAGUCCCGCAACGAGCGCAACCCUCGGGGCUAGUUACCGUGUCUAGCCCGACUGCCGCGACAAACGCGGAGGAAGGUGGGGAUGACGUCAAGUCAGCACGGCUCUUACAUCCUGGGCUACACACGUGCUACAUUGGCGCAUACAGAGGGCUGCGAUACCGCGAGGUGGAGCGAAUCCCUUAAAGUGCGUCUCGGUUCGGAUUGCAGGCUGAAAUUCGCCUGCAUGAAGGCGGAGUUGCUAGUAAUCGCGGAUCAGCAUUGCCGCGGUGAAUACGUUCCCGGGCCUUGUACACACCGCCCGUCACACCACGGGAGUGAGCAACACCCGAAGCCGGUGGCCUAACCCGCAAGGGAGGGAGCCGUCGAAGGUGGGGCUCGUGACUGGGGUGAAGUCGUAACAAGGUAGCCGUAGCGGAAGCUGCGGCUGGAUCACCUCCUUUCUAGGGAGCACUACGGUGCCCCGACCGAAGCGACCGUCCGGCGUCGCGCUCGUUUAGAGCGCGGAUGGCCAGUUGGCAUUCGAGCGGUCGGGCCUAGCAUGUCGACCGAACCUGGCUGGAUGGCCGCGCCUCGCGCGUCUCCCUCUCUACUUGGGGAGCACAGCCGGACGUGGCCGCAACGACCCCAGCAUGCUGUUGAGUUUUGAGAGACCGGCGUCCGCCGGUCCGCGUUGGACGCGCCGUCAAAUGGCGCGACCGCUAAAGCGCGGCGCCGGCCGGCGUAUACGCCUCUCCACGGUCCUUGAAAACUGCGCAGAAGCCACAUCAGCCGCCAUCGAUAAGCGGCGGCUGAAAAACGGGUAUCACCGGGCCCUACGUGAUCGUCUGCCUCUAGGGGCGGGCGCACAUGUUGGGCCAGAUCACCGUCAAGAUAGUAAGGGCACACGGUGGAUGCCUUGGCACCAAGAGUCGAAGAAGGGCGUGAACGGCUGCGAUAAGCCACGGUUAGGCGCUGAAUAGCCUUUGACCCGUGGAUUCCCGAAUGGGGAAACCCGG
rnacentral:sRNA from 1 species